GACGAACGCUGGCGGCGUGCUUAACACAUGCAAGUCGAACGGAAAGGCCCGCUUGCGGGUACUCGAGUGGCGAACGGGUGAGUAACACGUGGGCAACCUGCCCUCAGCUUUGGGAUAACUCUCGGAAACGGGUGCUAAUACCGAAUGUUGACAUUCUGCCGCAUGGUGGUUUGUUGAAAGUUUUUCGGCUGGGGAUGGGCCCGCGGCCUAUCAGCUUGUUGGUGGGGUGAUGGCCUACCAAGGCGACGACGGGUAGCCGGCCUGAGAGGGCGACCGGCCACACUGGAACUGAGACACGGUCCAGACUCCUACGGGAGGCAGCAGUGGGGAAUAUUGCGCAAUGGGCGGAAGCCUGACGCAGCGACGCCGCGUGAGGGAUGACGGUCUUCGGAUUGUAAACCUCUUUCAGUAGGGACGAAUGUAGACGGUACCUGCAGAAGAAGCACCGGCCAACUACGUGCCAGCCGCCGCAGUAAG
rnacentral:rRNA from 1 species